rnacentral:rRNA from 1 species
AGUCGACGAUGAGCCCAGCUUGCUGGGUGGAUUAGUGGCGAACGGGUGAGUAACACGUGAGUAACCUGCCCUUAACUCUGGGAUAAGCCUGGGAAACUGGGUCUAAUACCGGAUAGGAGCGCCUACCGCAUGGUGGGUGUUGGAAAGAUUUAUCGGUUUUGGAUGGACUCGCGGCCUAUCAGCUUGUUGGUGAGGUAAUGGCUCACCAAGGCGACGACGGGUAGCCGGCCUGAGAGGGUGACCGGCCACACUGGGACUGAGACACGGCCCAGACUCCUACGGGAGGCAGCAGUGGGGAAUAUUGCACAAUGGGCGCAAGCCUGAUGCAGCGACGCCGCGUGAGGGAUGACGGCCUUCGGGUUGUAAACCUCUUUCAGUAGGGAAGAAGCGAAAGUGACGGUACCUGCAGAAGAAGCACCGGCUAACUACGUGCCAGCAGCCGCGGUAAUACGUAGGGUGCGAGCGUUAUCCGGAAUUAUUGGGCGUAAAGAGCUCGUAGGCGGUUUGUCGCGUCUGUCGUGAAAGUCCGGGGCUUAACCCCGGAUCUGCGGUGGGUACGGGCAGACUAGAGUGCAGUAGGGGAGACUGGAAUUCCUGGUGUAGCGGUGGAAUGCGCAGAUAUCAGGAGGAACACCGAUGGCGAAGGCAGGUCUCUGGGCUGUAACUGACGCUGAGGAGCGAAAGCAUGGGGAGCGAACAGGAUUAGAUACCCUGGUAGUCCAUGCCGUAAACGUUGGGCACUAGGUGUGGGGACCAUUCCACGGUUUCCGCGCCGCAGCUAACGCAUUAAGUGCCCCGCCUGGGGAGUACGGCC